rnacentral:lncRNA from 1 species
ACUUCAGUGAAUUAUUUUGCUUUUGUAUUUUACUUAAAAUGAAGAUAAUUGAUGGGGGAUGUGUGACACCCAGCGUAAGGAUAACAGCAACAUAUUUCUAGUUACAUGAUCAAGAUUUAUCAAGUCUGUGUUGCUAAAAUGGCCUCUGUUCAGUAAUCUUAAAUCUAUUUUUAGGCCUAAAAUUCCCACCUUAAAGUUAAAAAUGAUUAUACUGAAGCAUAGAUCUUGGCUAUGUAACUUAAAAGAACUAAUACACCUCUGUAAGCCCUGUUACAUUAUUUUGUAAAAACAAAUAAUGAGAAAGUUAACAACAAAGAAAACAUUUUUCAAAGUGGUUGGACUUCAGAAAGGCUUUGUGAAUCUAAUAAAAGGGAAGGUAUUGUU